GUCCUGUUGAUAAUUAUAACAGGUCUGACCUGCCCGGUGAUGAAUUUUAACGGCCGCAGUAUAUUGACUGUGCAAAGGUAGCAUAAUCAUUAGUCUUUUAAUAGGGGGCUGGAAUGAAUGGUUUGACGAAACAUCUACUGUCUCAUUUUUAUUUAUUGAAUUUAACUUUUAAGUUAAAAGGCUUAGAUUUUUUUGGAAGACGAGAAGACCCUAUAGAGCUUUAUUAACCUUAUUUUUAUUUUUUUUGGACUAAAGUUAUUUUAAUUUUAAGUUUAAUUUUGUUGGGGUGAUGGUAAAUAAAUAUUUAACUUUUAUUAUGUUUUUUACAUUUAUAUGUGGUUAAUUAGAUCCAUUUUUUUUGAUUUUUAGACUAAGUUACCUUAGGGAUAACAGCGUAAUCUUUCUUUUGAGUUCUUAUUUUCAGGAAGGUUUGCGACCUCGAUGUUGGAUUAAGAUUAUAGUUGGGUGUAGCCGCUUUUUCUAUAGGUCUGUUCGACCUUUAAAUUCUUACAUGAUCUGAGUUCAGACCGG
rnacentral:rRNA from 1 species